GACCUGCGUUGUAUUAGCUAGUAGGUGAGGUAACGGCUCACCUAGGCGACGAUACAUAGCCGACCUGAGAGGGUGAUCGGCCACACUGGGACUGAGACACGGCCCAGACUCCUACGGGAGGCAGCAGUAGGGAAUCUUCGGCAAUGGACGAAAGUCUGACCGAGCAACGCCGCGUGAGUGAAGAAGGUUUUCGGAUCGUAAAGCUCUGUUGUAAGAGAAGAACGGGUGUGAGAGUGGAAAGUUCACACUGUGACGGUAUCUUACCAGAAAGGGACGGCUAACUACGUGCCAGCAGCCGCGGUAAUACGUAGGUCCCGAGCGUUGUCCGGAUUUAUUGGGCGUAAAGCGAGCGCAGGCGGUUAGAUAAGUCUGAAGUUAAAGGCUGUGGCUUAACCAUAGUACGCUUUGGAAACUGUUUAACUUGAGUGCAGAAGGGGAGAGUGGAAUUCCAUGUGUAGCGGUGAAAUGCGUAGAUAUAUGGAGGAACACCGGUGGCGAAAGCGGCUCUCUGGUCUGUAACUGACGCUGAGGCUCGAAAGCGUGGGGAGCGAACAGG
rnacentral:rRNA from 1 species